rnacentral:rRNA from 1 species
AUUGAACGCUGGCGGCAUGCCUUACACAUGCAAGUCGAACGGCAGCACGGGGCAACCUGGUGGCGAGUGGCGAACGGGUGAGUAAUACAUCGGAACGUGCCCAAUCGUGGGGGAUAACGUAGCGAAAGUUACGCUAAUACCGCAUACGAUCUACGGAUGAAAGCGGGGGAUCGCAAGACCUCGCGCGAAUGGAGCGGCCGAUGUCAGAUUAGGUAGUUGGUGGGGUAAAGGCUCACCAAGCCGACGAUCUGUAGCUGGUCUGAGAGGACGACCAGCCACACUGGGACUGAGACACGGCCCAGACUCCUACGGGAGGCAGCAGUGGGGAAUUUUGGACAAUGGGCGCAAGCCUGAUCCAGCCAUUCCGCGUGCAGGAUGAAGGCCUUCGGGUUGUAAACUGCUUUUGUACGGAGCGAAAAGGCUCUCUCUAAUACAGGGGGCUCAUGACGGUACCGUAAGAAUAAGCACCGGCUAACUACGUGCCAGCCGCCACGGUAACAC